UUCAUUACUGGUGCCAGAACGCGCGCACUCACCAACGUCUACCGUCUGUUUUCAUUCGUUUGGAUGAUUCGAAAUUAGGGCACGCAUCCGAUCCGCAGAAUAAUCGGCGCUUUCUUUUCUUUCAUAGCUGCUGAUAUCUUGAUAACAUUAAACAAGGAAUUGCUGAUGUCAGAUUCAAUAUUUUGAGUGGCAGGCCGCCUUCCAUACUUCAUCGAUGAUAGUAUCGCCUGCUUGCUUUGUGUUACUGGAAAGUAUUUGUUUCUCUAACUUAAAAUAUCAAAUCCCAAUGUCUCACCGUUUAAUGAAGAGAUAAGAGUCGACUCGCUUCGCUUAGAGGAGUGGUAUUCUAUCAUCUGCAACCAUUGCACACAGAGAAUGUAAACUUUGAGCAGAAUGAGGAAAGUAGCUUGUUGAAGGAUGAUACAUCUUUUCCUCCCUAACUUGUACGUUCUAGUACUUCCAACAUCUAUUUGAAUAUUUGCUGAUAUUGAAUUUCAUGUUGUUGGUCCUUCUGGACUACACCUGGUUAUGGAUCUAUUGUUGUUAAGUUUUGCAUAUUGAAUUUCAUGUUCUAGUACUUCCAACAUGUUGUUUGGUUCUGCAGAGCUUGAAAUAUGUUGGUUUCUUUAUCUA